GAUGAACGCUGGCGGCGUGCCUAAUACAUGCAAGUCGAGCGAAUGGAUUAAGAGCUUGCUCUUAUGAAGUUAGCGGCGGACGGGUGAGUAACACGUGGGUAACCUGCCCAUAAGACUGGGAUAACUCCGGGAAACCGGGGCUAAUACCGGAUAACAUUUUGAACCGCAUGGUUCGAAAUUGAAAGGCGGCUUCGGCUGUCACUUAUGGAUGGACCCGCGUCGCAUUAGCUAGUUGGUGAGGUAACGGCUCACCAAGGCAACGAUGCGUAGCCGACCUGAGAGGGGGAUCGGCCACACUGGGACUGAGACACGGCCCAGACUCCUACGGGAGGCAGCAGUAGGGAAUCUUCCACAAUGGACGAAAGUCUGACGUAGCAACGCCGCGUGAGUGAUGAAGGCUUUCGGGUCGUAAAACUCUGUUGUUAGGGAAGAACAAGUGCUAGUUGAAUAAGCUGGCACCUUGACGGUACCUAACCAGAAAGCCACGGCUAACUACGUGCCAGCCGCCGCAGUAA
rnacentral:rRNA from 1 species